rnacentral:lncRNA from 1 species
CUUGGAGCCUGGAGAACAAAGUGAGUGGGUCUUUCCAGCUGCCUGUGAAAAAGGGAAGGUGAGGAAUGCACACCAUCCAGGACAGCAGUGGCUGUUGGCUGCUCUCCUCAGCUAUGGACUCAGAGCCUCCUCGUGGGCUUGUAGGACACCAGAUGAAUCUGGAGAUGAUGCUGAGUGCCCCCAGUGCCCAUUGGAAAGGAAGACUGUAUCAAAACAGGUAGAGAUAAGCUCUCAAUACCUUAAACAUCCACAACUAUCUGGUGGUUUGUUCAAACUGGGACACUCAGGGUUAGGUCAUGAGCAAAGCAUAAAUUCCAUGAGCAGAAUUGCCACCUGUACAGAAUUAGCACUUGUAAGCUCUCAAGACAGAGAAUCAGUGGGGCAUUUAUUGCACUUUAACAGGAGUAACAGGUGUGUCCAAACCCACUAAUUCAAUCUAAUGCAGUUAACUUCCCUGUUUGGUCUCUGGGAGCUCAGUCCCAUUCAGAAGAGCACAAAAGUUCUGUGAAAUGGAGAUGCCAAAUUCUGCAGAGCUUGGAGGAUAACUCAGGUCUGCCAGACAGCCACUGACCUCAAGGUUUCACUUUCAGCAUUGAUGGAACAGUAAUUUUGGCCUCUUCACACAGGUUAGAGAUGUAGUCUCUGAUACCUGCAAAUGAAAUUGUCUCUGGUUGGUGAUGCAAUGACCCAGUGAAGAAUUAUAAUGUCUUUUCUUGGGGAAAACCCCCAAUUUGAAUCCAGUGAACUUGGUGACAGGUCUGACAGCUAUUCAGAACCAGUGCAUGGCCCCUCUGUGAGCUCCAACAGUUCUUGGGAUGGAUUAUAUCAGUAAAGGCUUCCCUUGACUUCAGGGGUAUUUGGAUUAAGAUUACAUUAACUCUUUUUGUUAUUUAUAUGUUUAAUGGAAAAUUAAAAAAAAAAUUAAAAGUUUGUUUAGGGUACCAUUCCAAUACUAUGCUUUGUUGUAGACAAAAUGAGGAAAUAUUCCACAUCUCCAGAGGGUUUGGCUCUAGGAAGUUCCCAGUCUGAUCACUGCAUUGGUGAGGGUAGGAUGAUCUUCAACAAGUUAUGAUGAUGAAUCCAAAGUCAUCCUCUGGGGCUUGUGGACACUCUUGACUUCCUAAUUUGAUAGGGAAGAUGAUCAGGUGCCCAUUCAUGCCUUCAG